rnacentral:lncRNA from 1 species
GAGAAAAUCUGGCUCUCCAGGAACGGCUGAGGCAAAGCUCCAGUGGGCCGCUCAACACCCUCCGAGCGGAAGAGACAGAGGACGAAUGGACCCCAAAUGGUAAGGUCCACUGCAUUGUUUCUCACUUCUUGGAAGCACCUGGGCCUCUUUCCCCAAUGAUGGAGAACCCUCUCCUAUAACUAGGAUACACCUGGCCACCCUCGUGUCAAGUCUGGAGAUAAAACCAGUUUGUCGUUUCAUUCUCCUUCUCUAGAACCUUCUGCAGGGCCCGUUCUGUUNAGCCAAGAGGUGAACGAGACGAGCCGCCUGAUAGCUCUAGAACGGGAGAACCAGGAGUUGUACAGGAGGCUGCAGGAAGCCCUAGAGAACCCAGNGGAACCCAGGCAUUCGCUGUUAGAACCUCAGAACACAGCCCUCGGCCGAAAGCUGGAGUUGCUGCAAAGCCAGGGGGAAGAGGCCACGGGAGAGCAGGCCUCAGACCUUCAGGAACACCUUCCAGAAGCUCAACAGCAGCAGAANAGUGAGGAGAUGGUUUCAGAAAAAAGGGAAAGCCACGUCUUGGGNCACAGGUCUGAGGUGUUGGUGCUGGAAACGGAGGCGGCUUUGGCAGACGCUCGUGCCCAGCUGCGGGAGGCUGUGCAGAAGCGGGAGGCAGAGACCCGCCGAGCGUCAGACCUCGAGGACCUUCUCCGGACUCUCCGGGACGGUCACACCGACACCCUGGAGAAACACGAGGAAGAGCGUCAGCAGUGGCACACGGAAACCGA